GGGCGCUUAGCUCAGUUGGUAGAGCAGCUGACUCUUAAUCAGCGGGUCGUAGGUUCGAAUCCUACAGCGCCCA
rnacentral:tRNA from 1 species